AAAACAAAACAAAAACAAAAAAAAACCAGAAAAACAGAAAAAAACAUAGACAAAACCUUAAAACAAACAAAAAAAGAAACGCGAAAAAUAACUGAAUGAACUAAAACUGGAUGUUUAAAACUGGACUAGUACUACUAUCACCGCUACUACUGCAACGACCACCACUGCAACUACUACAACCCAUACUAUUUUUCUUUAUUUCUUUCCCGUCGUGCAACAAAGAGAAAAAAACAACAAAACAUUCAAAGAAAAAAAUAUAUAUAUAAAAAGACACACUAACAACAACAACAACAACAAGAAGCAUAGGUACCCAAAGGAGGUAGCACUACUACAACAUAACCACAACAACUAGUCAACCACUCACAACUACAACAGCGUGUACUAUCGCAUAAGCAACACCCUAGAGUAGCUAUUGACAGUACUACGUUCAACUGUAGCCGCAACUACAUCAAACACCGCUACAAACAGAAACCGAUACAGUUACUAAAAUCACACACACACACACACACACACACGAUACUAUGACAUGUAUUAGAGACAAGGAGACAGACACUAACUACUAGAACCGCUACUGCAAACAUUACUAAACAACGCUAGAAGCUGUACUGUAGACAGUUUAUGCAGGCACCGCAACUACUAUAACCGCUACCACAAACAUCGGAACGCCGUGUACUAUAGACAGAAAUACAGACACACAGACACCGCACCGCAAACUACUAUAGCCGCUACUGCAAAACAACGCUAUCGACACAACUACUACCACAACCACCACGUCUACCGACACUAGCACAACAAACAUCUCACCGCGAUUAAUACACGCACCACAACCACCACCACCACCACCGAUAGAAUAGCACCGACCCUAAAUUGUACCACUAGCGCGUUCUACACUACGACUACUACCGCCAAUACAACAUCUAUUACUGAUAAUACUACAACAACAACAGUGGUAAUAUAACCACAUAUACAACUGCCAACACUAUCUCCCCUACUGACAACACUGCUUCUAAAACUAUAACCGACAGCGUGACAACGACCACAGCAACACUACAGGCAAUACUGCUAUAACUACUCACACAGCCACUCAUACUAUUGCCCAAACCACUACGGUAACCAUCACACUACAAGAGCCCACACACGCAGACCGCACACACUUACAUUGAUACAUACAUCAAAGACGACGAUGCGCGUCGCUGCGGUGUCCACUCUCCGCUGUCCGCUGUGGUCAUCGCCAAGGGCAACUAUUUACAACCGCCAACAUUCACUAACUCACUAACUACUACUACUACUACUACUACUACUACUACUACUACUACUACUACUACUACUACUACUACUACUACAACGACGACGACAACAACACGGGUUACGGAGCGGAGCACAAAACUAAAGCAGAAACUAUCGACCCGGCACAGAAAAGCUAAUCGACCCGGCAUCACCAACCGCUCUUUGCACGGUUACACUUUGGACGCCAUAUUGUUUCAACUGCCGAACAACCACGCAACAACCGUCGGCUCUAUACCAAUCUUACCACUCCGCUCAACGUCCACCACAACCACCACCACUGAAACAACAACGAUAUCACCAGUUAAACCUACCUACAACAAAAUAAAGAAAAAGGAAGGAAGGAAAAAAAACGGUGGUAGCUGCUACAAGAACAACAAAACCAAUUAUUCAAGGAAGGACGGAAUAUAUUACGUAAAACAACUCUCCUUUCAUAACAAAAGGAUUAUAACAAACCCCUGGACAAUAACAAUAACAACAACGUUAUUCAGAUUGAAAGAAACAAAGUCAACAAUAAUAAGCGUCAAAGGUUUUCGCUAACAAAAAAUAAAGAAGAAAAUAACAAAAAAUACAAUGGUAUAAUCAAAUAAUAAAUAAAUAAAUAACAGUGUGGUGUUUGCUAAAAUAUAGAACAAUAACGACAACAACAACAAUAAUAAUAUUAUAAGCAGCGCCACCCAAUUCAGGAAAGUUAAACAAACGAAAAUGUAUCGGCUGUUUCCGCCAUGAUGUUUGUACUCGUUGAUUCCUAAAAGUCCAACUAACGACUAACAACAACAACAACAACUACUACUACAACUACUACUACUACUACUACUACUACUACUACUACUACUACUACAGCUACUGCUGCUGCUGCUGCUGCUGCUGCUGUAGGGCGGAGGUCGGUCGUAACUGACGAAAAACCAGAUAAGGAAAGACCUCGUGCACCAGGAAGCGAAAGAACUACAGCAGCAAUAACAACAACAAGAAAUACUAACAAUAUUGAACUGUAGCUGUUAUAGUUGCAUCAAUAAUAAGAACAACAAUAACAAAAGCAACGUGAGUAGUAGCAACAACAACAACAACAACAACAACAACAAUAUUUAAGGGAACGAUAAACUGUUGAAUAUUUUGUCGCCGGAAGUUGACAACCACUUCAGCAGCAGUAGCAGCAACAGUAGCAGCAACAGCAACAGCAGCAGCAGCAGCAAGAAACUGUAAGAUCGUCAUCAUCAUCAUCUUCAGCAGCAGCAGCAGCAGUAGUUGAAACAGCUACAACCACAGCAACAGCAACAACAGCAGCAGCAGCGAAAACAACAGCGGUUUUGCAAGAAUUGUACAAAUGCUCUGGUUUCAUUUGCAACAAAAAACAACGACCACAGCGGCGGCUUUGAGAAUAUAUAAUAAGACUUACAAUAGCAAAAACAGGAAUUGAUAUUGCAUGGAAAGUGAGUUCGCAACAGGCUUAGCUCUCGCAACACCAGCCUAACCAAUCGCAACAACAACAACGACAACAAGCAGGAUGUAAUUAGCAACAACGACAAGAACAAAGUUGAUAACUGCUACAAACACUUUCUUGUUAGCAAAAACAAUAGCGUACCACCAUUUAACUACUAUUACUGCUGCUGCUGCUGCUGCUGCUGCUGUUGCUGCUGCUGCUGCUGCUACUGCUGCUAUCGCUGCUGCUGCUGCCACUGUUGCUGUUGCUGCUACUGCUGCUGCUGUGAUAUAAAUACAGUCGCAAGAAGCGGAGAAAAUAGGAGAUAAAAUAAUAAAACAACCGCUGCGCACAGUGCAACGGCAUCGACGACAACAACAACAACAAUAAAAAAAACGAUAGCAGCUAUAACCACAACAACAACAACAACAACAACAAC